AAUAUGGGCAAAGAUGGUGAUGUUGCCCUCUUCUUUGGACUAUCAGUACUGUUAUCCAGGUAUAUGGCUAACAAAUUUGACAAGGGCAAGGUAUGAAGUGAGGGAGAAGACAUGCACGAGGAAGAAGAAGAAGAGGCGAAGAGGGUUGAAGGGAAUGGAGAGUAUGGACUCGGAUUCAAAGUGAAGGGGAAUAAGAAGGGACAAUUUCGUUUGUUUUUUUCUCCCUUUUUUCUUUGAUGUAGU